CUUUUUUCCCCUCAGCCUCUCUCUGUCUCUCAACUUUUUUCUUCCGUCCUCCUCCGUGUGUUUUUUUAAAUGAUUUGGGGAGAAGAGGGGAACAAGCAUUCAGAGCUUGGCUGACGGUGCAGGCAGGAACGUCACAGAGAAAAAAACACAGGAGCCUGAGGGGCAGCACAUCGGGACUGAGGAGGACUGAAGAGGCUUGGGGGGUUUUUGGAUCUGAUGCACAGGCUUGAAGAUUGACUUUCAGUCAGAAGAGGCAGGAAGAAGGGGAGAGAAAUGACUUAUAGAUUCAUAUAGACUUUGAACAAGCUUUAAACAACACAUACACACAUACAGACUGUAGAGAAAGCAAGGAAAAAGCCAGAUAUACAGUUUUAUUUUUGUGGAAAAGACAGGAAGGCAAAUAUCUUGUGAGCAAGCUUAAACAUUUUUCCAGACGGGACCGGAGUUUUCUUCCACUGGAGAGAGAAAGAAGCAGAUGAACAGAGGCACAUUUUGAAUGAAAAGAAGACUCCUCAUCUUAAUUCAGCAAUGCUCUUGAGGAACUCUGCACUGAACUGUUGCUGUCUGCUAUGUUCCUGGACGCUGACACAGGCAUAGGACACAUUUAAAUCCACUGAACUCCUCUUGAGAAGAGGAUCCACGCUGUCUUUUUUUUUUUUGUCUUCUGUAAAAGUCCUUCUUCAGUGCAGGUGUUGUGCUGACUCUCACUAUGUUUUCUCAAAGGUACUCUUUAACGCCAUCAUGGACUUCUUGCCUUUUGGUGUUGUGCAUCCUGGAUGUAUGGACCACAGCUUGGCCGGCUGCCCAGCAAUCCCAACCCCAGCAGCAGUCCCGCCGGUCCAGGCAGAUGCCACCUCUAACCUCCUCCUCGUCAGCCGGCAACCUGUCAGAGAGCGCCGAGAGCAAAGUGGAGCGUCUCGGCCAAGCGUUCAAGCGAAAUGUCCGUGAGCUACGGGAGAAGAGCUCCUGCUUGGACCUGGUCUUCCUGGUGGAUGAGUCAUCCAGCGUGGGGGCCAACAACUUCCUGAGCGAGCUGAGGUUUGUGCGCAAGAUGCUGUCUGACUUUCCCGUUGCUCCUGAGGACACACGUGUGGCAUUGAUCACCUUUUCAUCCAAGACCCAUGUAGUGACGAGGGUGGACCACAUCUCAGCGCCCAAGUCCCACCAGCACAAGUGUUCCCUGUUCAACCAGGAGAUCCCGGCCAUCAACUACAGAGGAGGGGGAACCUACACGAAAGGAGCAUUCCAGAGGGCAGCGCAAAUCCUCCGUCACUCCCGUGCUAAUGCCACCAAGGUCAUUUUCCUGAUCACCGACGGCUACUCUAAUGGCGGCGACCCUCGUCCAGUGGCGGCAGCUCUGAGGGAACGUAGUGUCGAGAUCUUCACUUUGGGCAUCUGGCAGGGUAACAUCAGGGAGCUCCACGACAUGGCCUCGCACCCCAAGGACCAGCACUGCUACCUGGUGCACAACUUUGCAGAGUUUGAGGCCCUGGCUCGGCGUGCACUGCAUGAAGACCUCCCGACAGGCAGUUACAUCCAGGAAGAUCUGUCGCGCUGCUCCUCUCUGUGUGAAGCAGGCAUGGAUUGUUGCGAUGUGAUGGCCAGCUGUAAGUGCGGCACGCACACCGGACAGUACGACUGCAUCUGUGAGAAGGGAUACUACGGCAAGGGUCUGCAGCACGAAUGCACAGCAUGUCCACCCGGCACCUAUAAACCAGAGGGAACACCAGGAGGCCUGAGCACCUGCCUGUCCUGCCCCGACUCGCAGCACACCUCCCAGCCAGGCAGCACCUCCCUCAAUGACUGCGCCUGCAAGCCGGGCUAUCAGCCAGUAGGCAUGACCUGCCAGGUGGUGUACUGCCCGGCACUGUUCCCUCCAGAAAACGGCUUUUUCGUCCAAAAUGUAUGUAACAACCACUUCGAUGCGGCCUGUGGCGUGCGAUGCGAGCCAGAUUUUGACCUCCAAGGAACCAGCAUCAGGCUGUGCCAGGCUGAUGGCACCUGGUCAGGGACACCAGCCAGCUGCAGAGUCCGCUCCUGCCCGCCCCUCUCUCGGCCCCCGCACGGCUUCCUGAGGUGCAACAAUGGCGGCACCUCCUUCAGGGCGGAGUGUCAGGCGGGCUGUGAGCGAGGCUACAGGCUAGAGGGAGACUCCAGACUCACCUGCCAGGCCAACUCCCAGUGGAGUGGACCCCAACCUCGGUGUGUGGAGGUGCGCUGUCCCCCCAUCGUGACCCUGAAGAACAUCUUACUGUCGCCCCCUGCCUGCGGGAAGAGGGCAGUGUCGGCGGGCUCAGCUUGCCUGCUCACCUGUCGUCAAGGCUACAGUCUCCAGGGAAACAGGAAGGCAGUGUGCAUGGGCUCUGGGAACUGGACUGCUAACGUCUUUAAAGCCAUCUGUAAAGAUACUGAGCCACCAGGGAUCCAGUGCCCCGGGAACAUAGUUGCAGAGACAGAUGAGCGCCGCGGCACCGCCAAUGUUAGCUGGAACGUCCCGACUGCCACCGACAACUCUAGAGAAGAGGUGGUGGUGCAGGUGAAGCCAGUGUACACUCCUCCCCAGCUGCUCCCCAUUGGAGAGGAAACCAUCACCUACAUUGGGACCGACCGCUCGGGGAACCAGGCCAACUGUUCCUUCACUGUCGCAGUCAUCGAUACGGAACCCCCUGUGAUUGACAGGUGCAGGUCGCCGCCCACGGUCCAGGCCACAGACACAGAGACGGCUGUCAUUUGGGAGGUGCCGCAGUUUUCCGACAACUCAGGUGGUCGCCUCACAGUGACCAGUAGCCACACUCCAGGUUCUAAGUUCCCAGUAGGAGAGACUCUGGUCCAGUACACAGCGACUGAUGCAGCAGGAAACAGCCGCACCUGCAACCUCACUGUCAUUGUGCAAGGGACGACCUGUGACCAGCCGUAUGUCCCAGUGAACGGAGAGUUCAUCUGCUCUGAAGAAGAGGAGGGUGUUAACUGUACUCUUCAUUGUAAAGAGGGCUACAGCUUCACUCAGGAUGCAGUGCACAGCUACUUCUGCGCCUACAACGGUGUGUGGGAGCCACCCUACUCUCCAGACAGGCCGGACUGCUCAGUGAACCGAAUAGCAAACAACGGAGUCAAACCCUUUGAGAUGCUGUUUAAAGCAUCUCGCUGUGACGAUGUGGACCUGGUCAAGUCCUUUACUGGGGAGUUCAACACCAAACUGGGAGGCAUGCUUCCCAACAUUUGUAGUAAUGGCGAUGUUACCUGCAAGCUGGAGGUGAUGUCACAGGGCCACUGUUUAGAGUACAACUACGACUAUGAGAACGGAUUCUCUAUUGCGCCGGGGGGUUGGAGCAACAGCUGGGGUCCUCAGGGUGCCCAGGACUAUGCCUACUUUGAGUCAGGCUUUGCCACAGGUACCCGACAGCUCUCCAGGCCGCAGCAGGACAGAGGCAUACAACCACACCAGCGCUCCAAGCGGCACCGAAAAAUCACAGGACCCACAAGAGACCAAAAGAUCCAGAUCUAUUUUAACAUCACAGCAAGCAUCCCUCUGCCCCUGUCGAGGAACGACUCAAUAGAAGUGGCCAAUCAGAAGAGACUCCUGCGGACCUUGGAGCAGCUGACCAACCGUCUGAAGAGAACGCUGGCCAAGCAGCCGCUGUCCAGUUUCCACGUGUCCUCGGAGAUGAUUGUAGCUGAUCCCAAAUCUUUGGAGAGCAAGAAGCCCUCUCUGUUCUGCAGGCCGGGCUCGGUGCUGAAAGGAAGGAUGUGCGUCCAAUGCCCAGUGGGAACAUACUUCUCGCUGGAAUAUCACGAGUGUGAGAGCUGCUGGCUGGGCUCCUACCAGGACCAGGAGGGUCAGCUGGAGUGUAAGUCCUGCCCUGAGGGAACAUCCACUGCCUACCUGCACUCCCGCAGCGUUGCUGAGUGCAAAGGGCAGUGUAAACCUGGUAGUCACUCUCUGAAUGGGCUGGAGAUCUGCGAGUCAUGCCCGCUGGGCCACUUCCAGCCUGGUUAUGGCGCCAGGGCGUGUCUUGUCUGCCCCGACGAGACCUCGACCGUCACCAGAGGAGCAGUGGACGAGAUGGAGUGUGGAGUCCCCUGUUCUGCAGGUCAUUUCUCCCGUACUGGUCUGGUUCCCUGUUACCCUUGUCCCAGAGAUUACUACCAGCCUGAACAUGGCCGCUCCUACUGCCUCUCCUGUCCCUUCUAUGGCACCACCACUGUUACAGGAGCAACCACCAUACAGCACUGCUCCAGUUUUGGCUCCAGCUUUCUUCCCAAAGAGGAAAGUGUAACUGCGGCUCCAGAGGUGGAGGUCGUUGAGGACUACCAAGCAAGCAGCCAGGUUUUCCACGAGUGCUUCCUGAAUCCCUGCCAGAACAAGGGGACGUGUGAGGAGGUUGGGGCAGGAUAUGUCUGCACCUGCAUGCCUGGGUUCACAGGUGCCAAAUGUGAGAUUGACAUAGAUGAGUGUGACUCCACUCCGUGCCAGAAUGGAGGCCUGUGUAGGGACGGCAUGGGAGACUUUGAGUGUCAGUGCAAGCCGGGAUUUUUAGGCUCUCUUUGUGAGGCAGAGGUGAACGAGUGUGUCUCCUCACCCUGUCUGAAUGAAGGUGUGUGUGUGGAUGAAGUCAACAAGUUCACCUGCAGUUGUGCCUCCGGCUUCACAGGAUCUCGUUGUGAGCUGGAAAUAAACGAGUGCCUCUCCAACCCCUGUCUGAACGGAGGUGUGUGUGAUGACCUGACAGGUGGCUACACUUGUAAUUGUGCUGUUGGCUUCACGGGUGAACACUGUGAGGUCAACGUCGAUGAAUGUUUCAGCGCCCCCUGUCUGAAUGGAGGCUCGUGUCUGGACGCUGUCAACAACUUUAGGUGUCAGUGUGUGGAGGGUUACCGGGGCCGCCUGUGCGAGGUGGACGUGGACGAGUGUGAUCCUAACCCCUGUGUGAACGGGGCCAGCUGCAUGGACGGUCUGGGGUCGUACACCUGCCGCUGCCUCCCUGGGUUCAACGGAACCAGGUGUGAGACAGAGAUGUCCCCCGCCUUCAACCUGGACUUUGAGGUGUCUGGUAUCCAUGGUUACGUAAUGAUGGAUGGAGUGAUGCCGGCACUGACUGAGAUCACCUGCACCUUUUGGAUGAGGUCAUCGGACACCACCAAUUAUGGCACCCCUGUCUCGUACGCUGUGGAGGGCAGCGACAACGCUUUCCUUCUCAUAGACUACAACGGGUGGGUGCUGUACGUGAAUGGUAAGGAGCGCAUCACUGACUGUCCUGCAGUGAACACCGGUCAGUGGUACCACAUCGGGGUGUCCUGGAGGAGCUGGGAUGGUGACUGGAGAAUCUACAUCAAUGGGAAGCCCUCAGACGGAGGCAAAGGCCUGUCAGUUGGCACCACUAUCCCAGGCGGUGGGGCGCUGGUGUUAGGUCAGGACCAGGAUCAGAGGGGCGAGGGCUUCAACCCUGUCGAAUCCUUUGUCGGCUCCAUCAGCCAACUCAACAUCUGGGAUCGUGUUCUCACACCUCAGCAGAUUAAGGUCCUGGCCAGCAGCUGCCCAGCCUCCCACGUGAGCCACAGGGGGAACGUCCUCGCCUGGCCAGACUUCCUCAGCGGGGUGGUGGGCCGAGUCAAAGUCAACCUCAGCAGCGUUUUCUGUGCUGAUUGCCCCAAACUGGAGAACGCAGUGCCCCACCUGCAUGCCUCCACUGUGGAGGUGAGCCCCGGCGCCCAGGUCCAGUUGUCCUGUGAUCCCGGCUUCUACCUGCUGGGGGAGCCAGUGCUACAGUGUCAAAACAAAGGAGAGUGGAGCCAUCCUUUGCCCAGCUGUGAACGAGUGUCCUGUGGGCCUCCUCGUCCUCUGGAGAACGGCUUGUUUCAGGGGACGGACUUCCAUGCUGGCAGCUUUGUGGUGUAUCAGUGUAACGAAGGCUUUUACCUGCUGGGAGACACCAAGGUGCACUGCACCAACAGUGGCAAGUGGGGAGGAAAUCCACCAGCCUGUCUCGAUGUGGAUGAGUGUGCUCUGGGGUCUGACUGUGAUGAACACGCUAGUUGUCAGAACACAGAUGGCUCCUACACCUGCACCUGUACCCACCCGUACAGUGGGGACGGCAAAAACUGCACAGAGCCGGUGAAGUGUGAGAACCCUGGGUCUCCAGAGUUCGGUCACAGAGAAGGCAGCAAUUUCCUGAUGGGCGGUGAGGUUGUUUUUGGCUGCGACAACGGCUAUGAGCUGGUCGGCUUGCCUCGCCUCAACUGCCUGGAGACAGGAAGCUGGGAUGCCUCAAUCCCAUACUGCAAAGCCCUCUCCUGCCCGACACCAAUCGUCCCAGAGAACUCCGUCAUGAAGGGAGACAACUUCACCUAUGGAAGCAAGGUGACUUUCAGCUGUAUGAAGGGCUUCUUGCCGCAGAUUCCCUAUGAGUUCCAGUGUCUCCCUAGUCAGAGGUGGAGCGGGACACCACAAGUCUGUCACCCAGUGACCUGCGGGGGGCCUCCAACUGUGGAAAACGCCGUCUACACGCUCAACACAAACACAUACCAGUCCACUGUCACAUAUACCUGUGCUGAAGGAUACAGACCACAGGGCUCCAUGGCAGUGGUUUGUGAAGCGACAGGCGAGUGGAGCCGGCCUGUCCCCCGCUGUGUGAACGUCCUGUGCAGCGAGCCUCCAGCCCUGAGGGAUGCCGUGACCAUAGGAGAGAACUUUGAACUGGGAAACAAGGUGCACUAUGUCUGCAAAGAAGGCUACACUCUGAUUGGCCCAGAGACCAGAGAGUGUCUGCCUAGUGGCCAAUGGAGUGACAGCUCUGCCCAGUGUGUCCCCCGCUCCUGUGGCCCUCCGCCCGCCAUCGACCACGCUGAACCCUAUGAGAGCCACCAGCUGUUUGGAGACACUGCUAAUUACUACUGCACUGACGGAUACACUGCUGGCAACAACUCUAAGAUGGUGUGUAAUGCUCAGGGUGUGUGGGCGCCCCCUGAUGGCAUGGAGGCCCCCCGCUGCAUCGCAAACUUCUGCCUACGUCCGCCUGAGCUACCCCAUGCGAUUUUAGACUCAGUCAACAAACCCAAAUACGCCAGCAACACUGAAGUGAGCUAUAAAUGUGAGGAGGGCUUCAUGCUCAACACCACAGCCACACUGAGAUGUCAGAUGGGAGGAGAGUGGGAGCCUUCGCCAUAUGACAUCGGCUGUGUGCCGGUGAGGUGCUCCAAGCCUGACAGCAUUGAUCGGGGCUAUGUGAGCGGAACGAACUAUAGUUUUGGAGCUGUGGUGGCGUACAGCUGUGAUAAGGGCUUCCUGAUCCGAGGGGAGAAGAGGAGAACCUGCAAGGCCGAUGGAGAGUGGGGAGGAGCUCUGCCUACCUGUGUACCUGUGUCCUGCCCCCCGCCUCCUUCACUCAAGAAUGGAUACAUCCAGGGCAGAGGUCGAUUCACCUUCAACAGCAAGGUGACAUACGCCUGUAAUGCAGGAUUCAGGCUACUUGGUCGUCCAGAGCGAGUUUGCCAAGCCAACCGCCAGUGGACCAACAACGACCCUCCCACCUGCGUCCUUUUGACUUGUGACCCUCCUCCUGACAUCAUCCACGGACAUUACAAGGGGUCCGAAUUCCAGGUGGGCCGAAAAGUGCAGUAUGUCUGCGAUGAGGGUUACGAGCUGGUCGGGGAUGCCAUCUGGACCUGUCUGAAGUACGGAAGGUGGGAUAAGUCAAGGCGUCCUCGCUGCUCACCGGUGCAGUGUCCAGAGCCGCCGCUGGAGGAGAACCACCUGGUCCUGAAGGGCCUGGACUCUGAAUCUGGAACAGUGGAGUUAUCCUGCGAGGACGGGUACGUCCUUGAGGGGGCGCGGAUCCUCCGCUGCACUCCGUCCCAGGAGUGGAACGACACCUUUCCAGUGUGUAAGCAGGUGUUUUGUGGCCCACCUCCUGAAGUAUCAUUCGGUGGCCCUUCCUCUUCCUCCCCGCCAUUUCCUUUUGGCACCAUGGUGAGCUACACGUGCAUGGAUGGUUUUACGUUAAGAAUUGAACGCUCUGUGUCCUGUCUAGCCAGCGGGCAGUGGAGCAGUCCUUACCCAGAGUGUAUCCCAGUUGAAUGCCCUCAGCCUGUGGAGAUUUCUAAUGGUAUUGUUGACGUCCAGGGUCUGAUGUACCUCAGCAAAGCACUGUACAGCUGUAAGACUGGAUAUAAUUUGGUGGGCAACUCCACUGUCCUCUGUGGAGAGAAGGGACUCUGGAUUGGAGGGGUGCCUUCUUGCCGCCCAAUUGAAUGCUCAAUCCCAAAACAGGUAGCCAAUGGAAAGGUCAUGUAUACAAAACUCCAAUUUGGUCACAGUGCCACCUACUCCUGCCGUCGUGGUUAUCGUCUUCAAGGUCCAGAGACUCUGAAGUGCCUGGCCAGUGGGGAGUGGGACAAUGAGUCACCUACUUGCGUGCAGAUAUCUUGCACCCCACCCCAGCCUAUUGAAAGCGGAUUCGUAGAGGGCCAGGAUCAUAGCUUUGGUGUCACCAUUUUCUACAGCUGCUUUCCUGGCUUUCAGCUAGUCGGCCAGGACCAUUUGACCUGCGAGGAGUUUGGCUGGUCGAGCUCUGUUCCUGUCUGCGUGCCCUCGGACUGCGGCCUGCCUCCUCACAUUGACUUUGGGGAAUAUGUUAGGGUGGGAGGAGGCUCUGACAUUGGAACAUUAGCCACACCUCUGGACUUGAGCUUCCUUCAUGGGACGUUUAUUGAGUACCGUUGCCACAAAGGUUACGACCUCACAAACCCCACCAGGCUGGUGUGUCAGGAGAACGGAGGCUGGAAUGGCACGGCACCGUCCUGUGUCCCAGCAGAGUGUGAAACACCACCUGGUCCAGAGCACGGCUGGGUAAAUGUGACUGAUACCUCCCUUGGCAGCAUGGUCAAGUAUACUUGUGAGGAUGGGUAUGAGCUGGAGGGCGAGCCUGUGAGGCAGUGUGUGUCAGGUCGACUGUGGACGAAUGACGCCCCAGUUUGUCGACCUGUUUCCUGUGGCGACCCAGGCACUAUCCCUAAUGGCACAGCUCACGGCGGUGCUUUUGUGUAUCCUGAGGUCCUGCACUAUGAGUGUAGUCCUGGAUUUGUCUUGAAGGGUAGUGACACUAUCGCCUGUCAGGCAGAUGGAAAGUGGAAUGGGCUUAAGCCUCGGUGUGAGCCAGUAUCUUGCGGUCCUCCUAAAGUCCCCAGUGACAUCACUUUUAAAGGAGAAGAGUACAGCUAUAAUGAUGAAAUAGAAUUGAGCUGUCAGCCCGGUUUCCUCUUACAAGGGAAAUCUAUCAGUGUUUGUCAGGCUGAUGGCACCUGGAGCCAUGAGUCUCCUACCUGUGUACCUGCCCGCUGUGGCAAACCCUCGCCAGUACCUAACGGGCGUGUGUUGGGGUCAGAGUUUGGCCUCAACAGCAAGGUAAACUAUGAAUGUGAUGAGGGAUACACACUUAACGGAACUCCAACACGUAUUUGUCAGUCCAACGGACAUUGGGACAAACCUGCUCCUCACUGUGACAUCAUAAGUUGUGAUCCACCUGAGGACAUCAGUCACGGCUUCCUGAACGGCUCCAGCUUCAACUACGACGACGUGGUGGAGUACGUCUGCUUCGACGGCUACGAGGUAUUUGGGGAUCCCAUCCUGCGGUGCUCCGCUCAAGGCAUCUGGGUGGGCGCGGUGCCUCAGUGUCGACCCUGUGUCUGUGCCCUUCCCGUGGUGAAAUUCGGGGUGGUUCUGGGUCGCGACCGUGCCUGCGGAGACCGAGUGCACUUCCAGUGUGACGAUGGCUACAAGCUGCUGGGUCCCUCUCAGGCGGUGUGUGAGAAGGGAGGGGUGUGGAGCCCCGGUGUGCCUGUGUGUGGCCGGGGAAGGUGCAGUGUCGCCCCGCCUACAGUUCCUAACGCUGUCCUGCAGGGCGGCAGUGCCACCUUCCCAGACACAGUUAUAUACAGGUGUCGGCCCGGCUACCAGCCAAAGGGGUCCCCACACCUCUCCUGUGGAAGAGACGGCAGGUGGGGGGAACCCAGGAUCAGCUGUGAGCCUAUGAGCUGUGGAAAACCUCCAACUGUCUCUCAUGCUCAGGUGGUUGGAGACGCCUUCACCUUCCCAAACCAGAUCACAUACAGGUGUGAGGAUGGGUACAGUCUAGCCACACAGACAGCCUCCCUCUCCUGCCAGAGUGACGGCACCUGGUCCAAACACAGCAUUCGGUGCAGCCCCACCCCCUGCCCGCUCCCCACCAACUUCACCAUCCCCCAUCUGGUCGUCACUGGGAAGGAGCUCACUCCUGUUGGGGGCACGGUCACCCUCUCCUGCCCUCCUGGUCUCCACCUGCAGGGGUCAGCACUCGCUGAGUGUCAGCUGGGUGGAGGCUGGGCUCCGAGCAUAUCCUCUGUUUCCUGCCAGCUUGUGGUUUGUGCAAAACCCCCUCCUCUUCUUCACGGUGUCGCCGAGGGGGACAGCUACAACUAUGGAGACUUUAUUAUGUACUCCUGCCUGCCAGGCUUUGACAUGAAGGGAGACUCUAUCCAGACAUGUCAGGGAGACAGAACAUGGAGCGGCACGCAGCCAGUGUGUGUUGCACAGUCCUGUGGGUCUCCACCCUCAGUACAACAUGCACAGGUCCAGAUGACAGGAGACACUUACUUACACAAUGCCAGUUAUGUAUGUAACGCCGGCCUGCAGCUUGUUGGCUCCAAGACUCUUGUGUGUCUGGCCAACGGCACAUGGAGCCUGCCAGCACCUACAUGUGAAGUGGCCAAAGGCUGCAACAGCCCCAAACAGAUGCUGAACGGUAAAGUCCAAGAGCACAACUUGAUCACAGGACGCGCUGUGGAGUUCCAGUGUGAUAAAGGCUACAGCCUGGUGGGAGAUUCACUCGUGGUGUGUAUGGGGGGCAACGCCUGGAGCUCCACUUUUCCCACCUGCCAACCGAGGUCUUGCCCGGCUCCUCCUGGCUGGAGGGAUGACGGCAGCAGGAACGGAUCCCAGCAGGAGUUCCGUGUCGGACAGUCAGUCCCCGUCACCUGUCCCAAAGGUCAGCAGGUGAAGGGCAGCGGCACCAUCACCUGCAGGCCAGACCUGACCUGGAGCCCCAUCAGCUCUGUGUGUGAAAGGGUGUCCUGUGGCCCCCCCCUCCACGUGGCCAAUGGGGUGGUGCGGGGGGCGGUGUUCCAGUUCGGUGACGUGGCUGUGUACUCGUGUUUUGGCGGCUACGCCAUGGAGGGCGUUGGAAGGAGCAGGUGUCUGGAGAACGGCACCUGGACGCCACCUCCCACAUGCAGAGCGGUGUGUUGGCUGCAGUGCCAAAAUGGCGGGGUGUGUCAGCGUCCCAACACUUGCUCUUGCCCCGAGGGCUGGAUGGGCCGACUCUGUGAGGAGCCUAUCUGCAUCCUGCCGUGCCUGAAUGGAGGCCGUUGCGUGGCACCCUACCAGUGCGAGUGUCCCACUGGGUGGACCGGCACACGCUGUCACAGUGCUGUGUGUUCGUCACCUUGUCUGAAUGGAGGCAGAUGCAUCAGGCCGAACAGAUGUCACUGCAGUCCAGGGUGGAGCGGACACGACUGCUCCAGAAAUCAUGACCUGGUUCCUCAAGAUAAUCCACAGACCUUCUUGUGAGCAAUUUCAUGUAUGAACUAUUUUCUUUCCAUUGAAUCACACUGAUCAACCUUUUUUUUUUUACAAACUAACAAACCUUCCUUUUAAUCUUUUUGGUCUUGUCAGUGUCUCAAAGGUUUCUCUGUCCCUUUAAUUGAGCAUUCUGCAGUGUUUGCUGUUUCGGUGCAGCCUCUGUUACCAGAAUGAACUGUAUUCCCUUGAGUGUUUUUGUCAUCUGUGCAUCUUUUGCACACAUUACAUCAAUAAAUUAGUCCACUCUUGUUGGAUUUCUGCUUGUGGGGCUUUUGUUGCACUUGCUGCACUGCUGUCUGUCUCUCGCCCGCUCACGAUGAAACACUAUGCACCAGAGACGACGCACAGUAAAACUCUCUCAGUAAGACUCACACACUGAGCUGAAACAAGUGCUCAUAAUUUUGGUGAAUAUCAUAAAUAAACAUUUAAUUUUGCUGUCGUUUAUGGCGUGUGGGGUUUUGCUGUGGGCGGGGCUCAGCCUCUGCUCUUACAGACAGAGUGUUAACGAUGGCUGCACUUGUUGCGCCACUACAUGAAACUUUUGUGAGUAAAAACACCUGUGUGACCGCUGACGUUUAACAAAGAUGUGGAUCGGGCUGUAUAUAGCUCAGUACAGCUGAUCCUGAUCAGUUAAAAAAUGGCUUGAUGUCCUGAUGGCACUUCUUAAGAAACACUGUUGAAACAAGUAUAAGUGACUAAUCUUUCAGUUCAUACUUUAAGCUUUGAUGUUUGACUUUAAUAUAAUCGCCUAUAGUAAUGUGCAAAUUAAAUGGACAGUUAGAGGACAGUUGUCUGAACAUGAAAACAAAUAUUGGGACACACAUUUAUUGGAAAGCCUGAAUCCUAGUGGCCCCCCAUUUAAACAUUUAUUGAAUAUUUACCUUUUUUUUGUUGUCGCGGUUUUUGAUCGUGCACAAUGCAGACACACACAGAAUAAUCACUCUGCUCCGCGCUCUUCUCUUGUGUGCGCUUUGCCAGGAGCGUCUUUGUCAACGGUUUUAUUACAAAGUGAUGGUGAUAUCAUUCCUGUAACACUCGUUUUCCGUUGCUGGCGAUCCAAUUGAGAGGCCAAAUCCUGCAGAGUUCAUAAGUUUGUGUGUUCAGACACCCACAAACCAAACUGAUCACUCUUACUGCUCAGUAGCUUCAGAGCUGAUGGAGUGGCUUGAUGAGGAGGAGUCAAAGAAUCAUGCGAAGAAUAGGAGUCCGAACUUGGAUAUUAGUGCGCAUGUUGUAAGGUCAGUUGGGGUUGCCAAAAACAUUCUGGGAAAUCUUAACUUGUAUCAACAGUGAAAGUGGAUUUUUCUGUCACUUAUAAGUCAUCUUAAUGGGAAAACAAUUAUAUUUCUGAGAAAGGGAGAACCUUUUAUCUUUUAUCUCUAACACUUACUCGUAAAAGAGAGUGUCCAGUGUGUAGGAUUUAGGGAGAUAUACUGGCAGAAAUGGAAUAGUAUAUAGUAAGUAUGUUUUCUUUAGUUUAUAAUCACCUGAAAAUAAGAAUAGUUGUGUUUUCGUUACCUUAGAAUGAGCCGUUUAUAUCCACGUAGAGAAUAGGUCCUUGUCCACGGUGUCCGCCAUGUUUCUACAGUAGCCAGGAAUGGACAAACCAAACACUCUAGAUGGGGCCAUUCGCAUUUUCCAAGUCGGCCACCAUAGUUAGCAGCCCCUCCGCAACGACCAAUGUCAGAAAAAAAAAAGAUUUUUUUAAAAAUGUGAAACUACUUUAUUCAGUGUUUUUACUGGUUUAAAUCACCAGGUCCAUUUGUUUUGGAGAGGGAGGCACCUCCGCGGAUAAUUCGGCUCCCGGUAAAAACCUUCUGAACAUCUGGAUCUUAAGUUAUCAGAGAAAAAAGGAAAAGAAAAUCAGGUUACUAUCACUUCUAAAGGUUCCAUUCAGCUCCAUGUGAAUCAUCUUAUGAAGGGAAUUCUUGUAUAGUUAACUGACACACUUGUAAACCAUUCAUUCUCAUCUCUCUGCAAAGGCAAAGCAAGAACCAUUUUGUAAAAUAAAGCUGUAUUUUUUCAUAUAGAGACUCAACAGUAUUAAACAUAUGCUGCUAUAUACUUGUAUGAUGUGUAAAAACUAUUGAUGUGAUUGUCCAAUGUAUAUGUGUAAACUAUUCUCACAUUUUUAUUAAAGCAUAAAAUACCAUUACAUGCUCUUGUACUGAUCAGAUUUGUUGCUCUUACAGCGAAGGGUUGUGUAUCUCAGUCAUGGUCUGCGGUGCUUGGUGCAUUCAAGCGUGAAUAAGAGGAGGACAGAGUUCCUGUAACUCAUCUUCAUUUAUUAAAACCACCUUGUUUAAGACAACAUACAAAGAAAGUUCAGGAGUUUGUCCAGAGCUAAGCCAAUCUCUCGUAUAAAACAGAAUUAAAAAGGGUUUUAAUAAAAUUUCAGCCAGUUGUUAAAACAGUCAAUACGUACAUUGAACUGACAGGACUUAGAGUACGUCACCAAUACAUGAGUGCAAUAAAUUAUUAUUGCCAGGGUGGAAUGGAAGAGCUGAUGGUUAUUGUACACAACAUGAAACUGGAAUUUCUUGGGCAUGUACAGUGGCUACUGUGGUUCAUACGAUGAGGGUGUGUCGACUGGUCAGUGGAACUUUAUGUUCUGAACUCUACCACUUUUUCAGUCAGUGUAUCUUGGUUUGCACCAGAGAACUCGAACACCU